UCUUGGUUCCAUUAGAGGAAGUAAAAGUCGUAACAAGGUCUCCGUUGGUGAACCAGCGGAGGGAUCAUUACUGAGUUUACGCUCUACAACCCUUUGUGAACAUACCUAUAACUGUUGCUUCGGCGGGCAGGGUCUCCGUGACCCUCCCGGCCUCCCGCCCCCGGGCGGGUCGGCGCCCGCCGGAGGAUAACCAAACUCUGAUUUAACGACGUUUCUUCUGAGUGGUACAAGCAAAUAAUCAAAACUUUUAACAACGGAUCUCUUGGUUCUGGCAUCGAUGAAGAACGCAGCGAAAUGCGAUAAGUAAUGUGAAUUGCAGAAUUCAGUGAAUCAUCGAAUCUUUGAACGCACAUUGCGCCCGCCAGCAUUCUGGCGGGCAUGCCUGUUCGAGCGUCAUUUCAACCCUCAAGCUCUGCUUGGUGUUGGGGCCCUACAGCCGAUGUAGGCCCUCAAAGGUAGUGGCGGACCCUCCCGGAGCCUCCUUUGCGUAGUAACUUUACGUCUCGCACUGGGAUCCGGAGGGACUCUUGCCGUAAAACCCCCAAUUCUCCAAAGGUUGACCUCGGAUCAGGUAGGAAUACCCGCUGAACUUAAGCAUAUCAAAGCCGGGAGGAAAC
rnacentral:sRNA from 1 species